GUGCCCAAAUGGAAGGUGUGCCACACCACCAAGGCAGCUCCAACUUAUUUCAGUAUGGGCGGAACUGGUCACGCUACAAUAAGGCGGAUAAGGUGCCAGAGGUGUACGACCUGUAUGCCAUGGCCCACACUGGCUCUUACAAGAAAGUCAAGGCAUUCUCUGCGUCUGACCUCGAUGAUCCAAAGAACUUCACCAACAUCUCCUCCCACGACAAGCUCGUGCAAUAUAGAGAUUAGGGGAAGGCGAUUAAAGGGGAGGACCUUAACCCGAGCCAGGGUCCCAUUGAUACAGAGUUGCUGAUGAUAUCUGGUGGCGGGAGGUCCCAUGGCUCCAUAGCCAUGGGAGAUGGACUUAUCCGUUGUCCUAGCACUCUCUCGAAGAUCAAGGCGCGCCAGUCGAGCUCCGCUCCUGAGAUAAGGCCUCGUGAAUGGCCAAUCCAACUCGCCAUCAAGGCUGCUAUACAGAGUGAGAGAGAUAGAACGGAGAAACUUCUG